ensembl:snRNA U2 U2 spliceosomal RNA
GUUGCUUCUAAGAUCAAGCGUAGUAUCUAUUUAUUACAGUUUAAUAUAUGAUAUGUCCUCUGUCCAAGAACAAAAUGUUAAAUGGAUUUUUGGAGGAGGGAGAUGGAGUAGGAAGGACCCAGCUCCACACAUCCAUCUAAUAUCAUAGUACCUGCAGAAAUGGUGCAACCCCU